CGACCGGGACAAAAACAAAUUCCUUGGCUAGUUCUUUUAGUUUAUGUUUGAUACGAGAAAUAGGUUUAUUGUGGUUAUUGUUAAUAGUAAAAUGUUCUUUAAAAUGUUGAAUACGUAUAUCAACUAUCUUCAUUACUGAAUUAAAAAAAAGAGUCCAAAGAUUUUUUUGUCAGCUUUUUCCCGUUUUAUCCAUUUCAUACAGUAAGUAUGGAGUGAGUCGUGGAUGAUAUUACGACACUCAUUCCAAUUAAUAAUUGACGGGGGACGAUAUUUAGGUCCUUUACUGAGAAAUGAUUUUAACUCUCGGUCUUGAACGAUGUUAAGAUCUCCUGUUAUAACAUGGGAAAUGGGUCCAUAAAUAUAUUCGGAAUUACUGCAAUUACAUGAAGU
rnacentral:lncRNA from 1 species